rnacentral:rRNA from 1 species
GCAGCCACCUUUUAAAAAGCGUUAAAGCUUUCUUUUAAUCUCGCAUUAAUUCCCCCAUUUUACCGAAACCCUCCACCCAUACUGAAUGACUUCAUACAAUAUGAAAGACCAUAUGCUAAAACUAGUAACAAGAAGAAGAACUUCUCCAAAAUGCAAGCGUAAGUCAUAAUGAACAAUUCACUGACAAUUAACGUCUAUUAGUCCUAAGUAGUAACCUCCUCAAGAAAACCCUACUUAAAACAACGUCAACCUUACACCGGAGCAUUUACAGAAAGAUUAAAAGAGCCGGAAGGAACUCGGCAAAUUACUUAACCCCGCCUGUUUACCAAAAACAUCGCCUCCUGACAAACUAUAGGAGGUCCAGCCUGCCCAGUGACAAAGUUAAACGGCCGCGGUACCCUAACCGUGCAAAGGUAGCACAAUCACUUGUUCUUUAAAUGAGGACUAGUAUGAAUGGCAUCACGAGGGUUAUACUGUCUCCCCCCUCUAAUCAGUGAAACUGACCCCCCCGUGAAGAAGCGGGGAUACUAAUAUAAGACGAGAAGACCCCAUGGAGCUUUAAACUCAGUAUCACCUGCCACAUACCACAGCCUCUCACCCACGCAGUUCUGAUAACUAGUUUUCGGUUGGGGUGACCGCGGAGUAAAACAAAACCUCCUCGAUGAAAGGAAUUUAAUUCCUAAUCCAAGAGCCACAACUCUAAGAAUCAAAUUAUUGACAAAAAUUGAUCCAAGCACUAUUGAUCAACGAACCAAGUUACCCUGGGGAUAACAGCGCAAUCCAUUUCAAGAGCUCAUAUCGACAAAUGGGUUUACGACCUCGAUGUUGGAUCAGGGUAUCCCAGUGGCGCAGCCGCUACUAAAGGUUC